rnacentral:rRNA from 1 species
AUUGAACGCUGGCGGCAGGCCUAACACAUGCAAGUCGAGCGGAUGAAGGGAGCUUGCUCCUGGAUUCAGCGGCGGACGGGUGAGUAAUGCCUAUGAAUCUGCCUGGUAGUGGGGGAUAACGUCCGGAAACGGGCGCUAAUACCGCAUACGUCCUGAGGGAGAAAGUGGGGGAUCUUCGGACCUCACGCUAUCAGAUGAGCCUAGGUCGGAUUAGCUAGUUGGUGGGGUAAAGGCCUACCAAGGCGACGAUCCGUAACUGGUCUGAGAGGAUGAUCAGUCACACUGGAACUGAGACACGGUCCAGACUACUACGGGAGGCAGCAGUGGGGAAUAUUGGACAAUGGGCGAAAGCAUGAUCCAGCAAUGCCGCGUGUGUGAAGAAGGUCUUCGGAUUGUAAAGCACUUUAAGUUGGGAGGAAGGGCAGUAAGUUAAUACCUUGCUGUUUUGACGUUAACAACAGAAUAAGCACCGGCUAACUUCGUG